AACUUUCAACAACGGAUCUCUUGGUUCUCGCAUCGAUGAAGAACGCAGCGAAAUGCGAUAAGUAGUGUGAAUUGCAGAAUUCAGUGAAUCAUCGAAUCUUUGAACGCACAUUGCGCCUCCCGGUAUUCCGGGAGGCAUGCCUGUUCGAGCGUC
rnacentral:rRNA from 1 species